rnacentral:rRNA from 1 species
GCUACACAUGCAGUCGAGCGGGCGUAGCAAUACGUCAGCGGCAGACGGGUGAGUAACGCGUGGGAACGUACCUUUUGGUUCGGAACAACACAGGGAAACUUGUGCUAAUACCGGAUAAGCCCUUACGGGGAAAGAUUUAUCGCCGAAAGAUCGGCCCGCGUCUGAUUAGCUAGUUGGUAGGGUAAUGGCCUACCAAGGCGACGAUCAGUAGCUGGUCUGAGAGGAUGAUCAGCCACAUUGGGACUGAGACACGGCCCAAACUCCUACGGGAGGCAGCAGUGGGGAAUAUUGGACAAUGGGGGCAACCCUGAUCCAGCCAUGCCGCGUGAGUGAUGAAGGCCCUAGGGUUGUAAAGCUCUUUUGUGCGGGAAGAU